AACCUAGAGGUCUCAUUCUAAGGAAACAAACCAAUGCAACAGAUGCUCGUACUUUAGCCAAGUAUUCACGAGCUUCUGGUUGAUAAAUUAUCUUCUUUAUGUGUGAGAUAGAAGAUAGAAGAGAAGAAUAUUGAUAAAAAUAAUAUAAAGAUAAAUAUUACUAUUAUUUCAUAACGUCUUAUUGGAUUGCAUCGAAUACUUAUAUAUAUGCGUGCGUGCGUGCGCUCGUGCGUGAAUGACUCAUCCAUGGGGCCAAAAGGGGGACGAAACAUGCAUCACCAUGGGCAUUUUAACACAGAUGCCCCGUACGACGCGUGCCCUCGAACCAAUCCGACGCCCCUAUGCGUUGCUUCCGCAACGGCAACCACGUCUGCACGAGUCAUUUUCCCUACGACCCCCUC